CCUACAGCUAUCUAGCACUGCAGUGCAUAAAAUGUGCUGAGUAGUUGACCUACAGAGAGAAAGACAAUAGUUUAAUAGUUUUUAACAAAAUAAUUUCUUCAAAAAUUAAGGAGAAGCAAGAGAAAGAGCUAUCUAUAUUUCAUUGCAUUUCUUUCACUUUCACUUAGCUCGUGAAUGCAGCUAGCUAGUUUAGCCUACUCAAACACCCAGCUCAAACAGAGGGAUGCUAUGUUAGCUAGCUGGCUAUCCAACACUUGAACUCUUCCAAGUCAAGAUGCACCAUUGAGAGCAUCCUGUCGGGCUGUAUCACGGCCUGGUACUGCAACUGCACCACCCGCAACCGCAGGGUACUCCAGAAGAAGUGGCGGUCUGCCCAACGCGUCACUGGGGGCACACUGCUUGCCCUCCAGGACACCUACAGCACCCGAUGCCACAGGAAGGCCCAAAAGAUCAUCGAGGACAUCAACCACCCGAGCUACGCCCUGUUCACCCCGCUAUCAUCCAGAAGGCGAGCAAAUAUGGCAGUACGACCAACCAGCCUCACACCGCAGACCACGUGUAACCAUGCCAGCCCAGGACCUCCACAUCCGACUUCUUCACCUGAGGGAUCAUCUGAGACCAGCCACCCAGACAGCUGAUGAAACUGAGGAGUAUUUCUGUCUGUAAUAAAGCCCUUUUUGUGGGGAAGUAAUAAAG
rnacentral:lncRNA from 1 species